UAUUCCCAGAAAAUUUUCAUACAUAAUAAACUCCUAAAUCAUACCUCAUUCUUUCCCAACAUGCAAAAUAUUCAGAAUCCUAUGGAGGGACAAAUAUACCUUUAUUUUAAAAGUUAAUUCUGAGCACUGAAAAUAAAUGGUUUUCCAGUGUUGCAGGGACAUUCUAACAAAAUGUGACCAGUGACGAACAACGGCUUCCUCAACAGCCAGAACACUGUGCUCCUCUCCAUCCGGCUUACUACUCUCCAAAAACCUGUUUAAUGCCACCACUGUGUUUAAUACACUCUCCUCUGAUGUGUUUGCCCUGCCAGAUUGUGAGCCCGAGAACAGAAACUUCCUGAUUGGCUCACCAUUAUUCUCCCUGCACCUAAAACAGUGAUGAGCUUCUGGCAGAUGCUGGCUGGACUGAUGGAUGGACUGUUAGGUGAAUGAGGCCGACUGUCCAGUGAGCAAAGUGCCCAGUGACUGAGAAUGAGACAGAAGAUGAGGGCGUUUGAUGAUAAGGAAGAGGAAAGCCAUCAGAGCCACCUGGAAGUAGAGGUCUGCUCAGGUCGGCCUGCUUAACCAAGAUGGCCGCCAGUGGGAGUAGGAAGGAUGAAGACAUUGCACACAUUUGGAGGAAGAACCCAAAGCUGGCAUGAGAGGAGUCCUUUCCAGGGCUGUUCAAGGCAACGGGAUGCAGACUCCUCCCAAGGGGUAAACAUUGGAAGCCACCAGGAGGGAAGCCAAGCCUCUAGAGAUUGCUCAGGAACCCCAACCACCCCAAUGGAGCCGGAAGGUCUGUCAAUUCCCAGAGAGGGAGGAAAUGGAAGGUGUGCGUAUCCAGACAGCAGGCUUCGAGAACAAGGACAGCUCUACUUAUCCUGGAGCUUUCAUGUGGUGGGAGAGGCGCAGUGCUGUGUCUGUCCCAGAGCAGAGCAGAGCAGAGCAGGGCAG